rnacentral:rRNA from 1 species
ACCUACGGGGGGCAGCAGUGGGGAAUAUUGGGCAAUGGGCGCAAGCCUGACCCAGCAACGCCGCGUGAAGGAAGAAGGCUUUCGGGUUGUAAACUUCUUUUGUCAGGGACGAAGCAAGUGACGGUACCUGACGAAUAAGCCACGGCUAACUACGUGCCAGCAGCCGCGGUAAUACGUAGGUGGCAAGCGUUAUCCGGAUUUACUGGGUGUAAAGGGCGUGUAGGCGGGGAGGCAAGUCAGAUGUGAAAACCACGGGCUCAACCUGUGGCCUGCAUUUGAAACUGUUUUUCUUCAGUGCUGGAGAG